GGCCACCCCAACUCGAACUGCUCUCUCCACCACCACCAAAACAAAGAAACCGCCUCCACCACCCACCACCACCUUCUUCACACCUGACCACACAAACAUGUUAGGCCUCCACAAUGUUUUCCUCACAGCUCCACCGCCUUAUUCUUCUUCUUUCCAACAACAAUCCAUUUCCUCUUCUCACCAAAUAAAUAGUACCAUCCAUGACCAGUGCAACAUUUCCAACAAUCAAGAGUCUUGGACGACUUUUAAGAGAUAUCAUCAGCAAGAAUCAAGCUUUGCUAAAGGUCAUGCGUUAAAUGUUGGUGAGGAUAAUGAAAAUACCACUAAUACCUCUUCUAGAGUCUGCG
rnacentral:misc_RNA from 1 species